CGCGCAGGCGGCGUCGUAAGUCGGUCUUAAAAGUGCGGGGCUUAACCCCGUGAGGGGACCGAAACUGCGAUGCUAGAGUAUCGGAGAGGAAAGCGGAAUUCCUAGUGUAGCGGUGAAAUGCGUAGAUAUUAGGAGGAACACCAGUGGCGGAAGCGGCUUUCUGGACGACAACUGACGCUGAGGCGCGAAAGCCAGGGGAGCAAACG
rnacentral:rRNA from 1 species